CUGCAUUCUCAAACCUCCUGGUUGAUUUGGAUCUCAACAUCCAGGACAAAAUGGAAUGCUAAAUGAAAUCUCCGGAGAAUUCCAAUGUGCUGAGCUUCACUUGUGCUUGUCACUAUUUCACAUCUCUGACAUGU